rnacentral:rRNA from 1 species
CUUAUUAAUAAAUUAUUAAUAGAUUUGUUCUUUAAAUUUAAAGGAUUUGGCGGUAAUUUAUCUAUUCAGAGGAACCUGCCCUUUAAUUGAUAAACCACAAGUAAUUUUACUUUUAUUUUUGCUUAUAUACCUCUAUCAUUGAAUAUCUUUAGAAAGAAUGAUUUUCUAAUAGAUUUUUUAAUCUUAAUGUUAGGUCAAGGUUUAGUAAUAUAAAAGUCUGUGGUGGGUUACAAUUUUUAUAUAAGAGGAUAUGUUUAAUGGAUAUAACUUUGAAUUUGGAUUUGAUAGUAAAAGUUUUUUGGUUAAAACUUUGAUUUUGUAAUAAAUUAAGCACACAUCGCCCGUCGCUCUUA